rnacentral:rRNA from 1 species
UUCCGCAAUGGGCGAAAGCCUGACGGAGCGACGCCGCGUGCAGGAAGAAGGCCCUCGGGUUGUAAACUGCUGUCACACGUUAUGAAAAAAUUUAGGUUAAUACCCUGAGUCUUGACGUAAGCGUGAAAGGAAGUCACGGCUAACUUCGUGCCAGCAGCCGCGGUAAGACGAAGGUGGCAAACGUUGCUCGGAAUCACUGGGCGUAAAGAGCACGUAGGUGGGUUUGUAAGUCAGAUGUGAAAGCCUUCUGUUCAACGGGAGAAUUGCAUCUGAAACUACAGAUCUUGAGUAUAGGAGGGGAGAGUGGAACUUCUGGUGGAGCGGUGAAAUGCGUAGAUAUCAGAAGGAACGUCGGCGGCGAAAGCGACUCUCUGGCCUAUUACUGACACUGAGUGUGCGAAAGUUAGGGGAGCAAACGGGAUUAGAUACCCCGGUAGUCCUAACCGUAAACGAUGGGCACUAAGUAGAGGGGUUUUA